UACGGAGGGUGCAAACGUUGCUCGGAAUCAUUGGGCGUAAAGCGCACGUAGGCGGUCCAGCAAGUCGGGGGUGAAAGCCCGAGGCUCAACCUCGGAACUGCCUUCGAUACUGCGGGUCUCGAGUCCGGGAGAGGUGAGUGGAAUUCCUAGUGUAGAGGUGAAAUUCGUAGAUAUUAGGAAGAACACCAGUGGCGAAGGCGGCUCACUGGCCCGGUACUGACGCUGAGGCGCGAAAGCGUGGGGAGCAAACAGG
rnacentral:rRNA from 1 species